rnacentral:piRNA from 1 species
UCCGGCUUGAGAAAUGACUUCCCAUG